rnacentral:lncRNA from 1 species
UGCCCUCCAGAGCAUGCAUGAGAGACAUCUCCAGACCCCAGGGAGACAUGGUGUGGAGUUGAAAGCUGCUUCUGAAUCUUCCCAGAUUCCCUGCUUCUGCCACCCCCAUUUAACUCGGACAACAGGAUUGCUCAGUCUCAGCUGUGCUUGGCUUCCACUUCACAUGCUGUCAAAUGACUGCUCUAGAAGUACAUAGAAAAAAAAAGGUAUGAAAUUUCUGUAGUGUAUUAAAUUACUGUUAGCAGGUAACUCCAAAAUUGGACUGUGUAGGUAGGCG